CCGGUUAUCUUAGGGGAUGUCCCUCCCUGCUCUCACCUCCUGCCAGGGGAGAAAGCAGGGAAGCUCAUCCCAACCACGGGGGGAAGGUCUGUUCUUCUGGUCUGAGAUAGCUCGGACCCUGCCUUUCCCUGCUGACUUGAGGCAGGAUGCCCACGACGCCGGCUGAAUCCACUUUGCGGUUGCACCACUUCUAGGUUUGGCAACCUUCACGUCUGAUCGAACGCAGCCCUGUGCUGAGAGUGCAGGGAUCAGAUCCGCAGCUGGGAACAGACCAAGAAGUGCCAAAGUGCCUUGGAAAAACCUGUGCAGCCUUCAUCACAGCCCGCAAUGAAGCCAUGGGAUUGCAUCCGCCCCGUCCCCGGCAGAGAGCAUGCUGGCGGGAAGGGGCAGGGGCUGCGGGGAGGCACGGGCUCCAGAAAAGGAAUUUGCGGUCCCCUUCAGCGGCACCGGUGCACUUUGCUCUCGUGCAAACAGAGCCCGUGCUACACGGUGACCGUACGGUCCCUCGUGCUGCCGCAGCUGGGACGAGGGAGGAAGGGCCCGGAGCUGCCAACUGGAAGCAAUUGUGAAGAUAGCCUGCUGGUUAAAAAAACAACACAGCCUCUCCUCCAACGCGGCCCAGAGAGCCCGCGGCCCACGCGAUCAUGAAUAAAGAACAGGGGGACAAAGUGGGUCAGUCUGGCAUGAAGGUGGGAGCUGCCCCACGUCGUUUUUUCCCUCUCACCCAUUAGCUUCACAAGAGAAUCCUUUUUCUCACCGGACGACUGUACUUUAUUUUUCUAAAGCAGUAUCCCUCUGACAACCGAAAAGGAAUACUGCAUCUGCAAAUGAAUGGUGCCUGCAAAGAGACAACAUGAAAUUUUUAAAAAGCAUGGUAAUAAAUGCUAUUCAAAAAAACACAAUCUCUGAAAAACACGGCCUAUUGAAAUGACAAGCCGAAAAUCAUUCGCUAAGCACUGAAAUGGCCCCCUUUGUCACCCCAAUCCUUCUGUUGACAGUUACCUUUCAAUCCUGCAAUUGUGCGGUAAGUACUGAUUUUUAUUCAAUGUUCUAUUCACCCUGCGUAUUAAUGAAAAGGGAAAAAAAAACUUGUAAGAAUAGCCUUUAAUAGGCUGAUAGACAAGGCUCCCCUAUUCUCCCGCCGGAGCUCCUCUUAUCAGCUUCUCACAGUAUUGCUUGCUCACUCAAUUCUUUCCCUUUUCUAAACUUUGUUCACCCAUCUGGGCUUUUUCUCCACGGAGAUGGAAACAUUUUUAUUUCCAAAGUCUCGCUGACCUUUCCUGCCGCUCACGGCAAGCGGCAGCCUAGGUGCAGCGGUAGCCUCCGCCUGGGCGGUUGGAGACGUGCCCGGAUCAAAACGCCGAGGCCAGAAGGGCCGAUUCCCCGCAAUGCUUCAAUCCCAGCCCUGCUCCUGCCCUGGCCCUCGGAGGCGUCGAGCGCACGUGGAGCGGCGUGCGAACAGGGAGUGCACGUGCACCAGCAAGAGCCAAGAGCCCUGGAUCUACGCUGCUUUUCCAGGGGGCGCGUUCGUCCCGAAACGGGAGUCGGGGAGACCGAUUGUGCCAUGCUGGCUGCAGACGGCGAGGGGGUGGCUGGCUCCCGGCUCCGGCUUUUCCCCUCCUUGUUGCAGUGAUUUCCCACUCACCUCUGGCCUUUGCAGGCCCUUUGUUUCAGCGAGAAAGGAGCCUGCGAUGACUUGGCCGCAGCCGUGACCCACAGGUCCUGCUGGGGCGAGCCCUGCCGCCGUCUCUCCCUGGGUCACGGGACUUCUCCAUCUCUCGUGACGCCAGGGGACCCUCGGUAAGUCACCCCGGAGGGGCCAGCUGGGGCUCACGUCCUUGCAGGGCUGCUGGGGACCUGGCUGCUUUGGUGCCAGGUGGGAGCAAGCUGUGGCCGGUGGUCCGACUGCAGUGCUUGCAGCCCACGCUGGCCCCGUGGCAGGACUGAGCCUGCCCAUGGCCGAGAGGAGGAGAGGGGUCAGCGACCUCGCUGAGCCGUGGUGCACCAGACCUGGUGGACACGACUCCAUCCCCGCUGCUACGUGCGUGUCCCCCCAGGUGCUGGGCAGGGGGUCUCCGGCACUGCCCGUCUGCCGGACCUCCUCUCUCCAGCAGCCUGCCCCUUUCCUGCGGGAGAUGCAGCGCGUCGCCAGCCAGGGCUGCAGAAACGUGGCUCGUCUGCACGACACGUCUUUGUGCUCUGCACACGUGCAGCUGGCGGGAGCUCCCCGUGCAUGGGAUGGUGGGAAGCCAGCCUCCUCCCCGGGCUUGGGACCCCCUUUGCACCCCAUCAGCACCUCGGCGGGUGCCAAGGGCAGGCUGGCGGUGAGGCACCUUCUGAUGAAUAUUCAAGAGGAGGCUUCUCCUUAAAGGUUGUUUGAAUAGAGGAAAUUGUUUUACAUUGUGAUGCAAUAUUUCCACGCCGGGGUCUCAUUUAUGCGGCAUAUUAAAGUCAAUGUGCUGCCCAUCCAUCUCCAUAAGGAGCCAAGCCCAUUAUCCACAGUUACUUUUAAGCAGUCUUUGCUCAGUUCUGACGGGCGGGCAAGCGCCAUAUAUCACGGGGAAUGCAGUCCUUUAAGCUGCAGUCCGUGAUUGAUAGUUUAACCUCCUUCUCUGAGGUUAAUUCGAUCUACGCCGGUGUAAACUAUCAGCCUGGCGGAAGGAGGGGAUCUGCAUGGCACUCGUUAGGAGAUCUCCGGGCUGCGGUAAUUGCACUGGUCUCUCCUCCGCCCCUCUCCGGGGCUGCUCUGCCUCCCCGGCUCCGUGCAGCCUGGGCUGGCUCCACAGCCGCAUGCACCAAGGGCACGAGGCAGCCCCUGCUUGGGGGCACGUGGGCGACACGGCCUGCGUCCCUGCGGAUGAGCCGGUGUUAGAUCCCUGAGCUGAACCCCCCACCCCAAUGCACGUCCCUGCUUCCCGGCUUGGCAACACCCAUGCAGACUUCACAGGGGAGGGCACAGAAAUCCUGCAGCGCAGAACUCGCUACCUCUCCUGCUUGCGGCAGCGCCCUGGCCCUUGCAGCUGCCGUCUCCUGCCCUUGUAUUCUGCAAGCGAUGGCUGCGCCCAGCCCCUCUGCGGGGUCUGGGGAGGGCCUGGGGGAAGGGGAACUGCCUGGUCCCGGGGCUCCCCGCCCGGCUGUCAUGGUCUGCACCCCGGUCCCCCUUUGCUUCCUUCUCUCCCCAGCUGGAGGUUAUUAGCUGCGAAGCGGAGAGCUCUGGAAGAUGUGCGGCCUCCCCAUUGCUCUUGCGUGGCAUGUUGUCAAUAUGGCCGGUGGCGAGAGAGCCUGAAUGAUGGAGAGCGAAGGCAGCGCGUGCAAAGGCCCCUGCGCAGGAGCUGCCCGCUGCAAUCUUGGGCUAACAGCCGCUCGCUUUGGACCAGUGCGGAUGCACCCAGCGCCGACGGUAAUGCCCAGCCGCGGCUCCGGGGGCAUCCACCUGUCUCUCUGGGAAAUGCUGGCACUCAACACAACUCUCUGCAGACCUGGGGUCCUCUCUCUGCCCCUCCAAAUCUCUGCCCCACCCAGGUACCCAGAGUGGUGACCAGCCCCAUCCGUGCUCUUUGUCCUCAGGGCUGUCCCAUGCUGGGAUGCCACAAGGGUCGUCUCCCUGGACAGGGAGGGCAGAGGUGCAAUGAGCCACCUUGCCACGGCUCUUCUUGGGGGUCAGAUUGCCCUGUGACAGACCCCAGGGACUGUACCCGGGGGAGUGCUGCUUGUCCGCUCCCUUCGUCCGCUUCAUCUCCGGUCAGCCCGUUGCGCGGGCUGCUUGCCACGUGGCGCUGAGUCCCUACAACAGCCCCUCCUGAGGGCACCGAGCUGGGGAGAGCUGGCCAGGGCUUCGGGCAGCUCGGCUACGACAGCGUCGGGAUAAAGGGGCUGUGCCCUGCUUUGCGCCGUCUAUCCCAGCCAGGGUGCAUCUCCCGGGGGCUACCUGCACCCCUCCCACCUGCAUGCAAAGCCCUUGUGCCUUUGCAAUGGGGCUGCUGGCUGGGCCACACUGACUUUUCAAGUUGAAGGACCAAUGGUCCAACCUAGUGUCUCCUUCAGCUGGGGUUUGCUGCUGUUCUUCUCUCCCCACGGACCCCCGACACCCUCAGGCAUCAUCGGUGGCAAAUGCAUCGCUUUAGUGUGCUGGGCAGAGUCCUUUUAGCGUUGGUUAUGGAGGGUGACCGGCCUGGGGACGUGGCCUGUGGACCGAGUGGAUAUUGUCUGCUCAUUCAAUUGGCCUGCUUGCUGACUGCAGUUAUCCUCUGUGCAACGGCAUUGGUUUUCUCCUGAUCUCUGCCUGGUCUCAGGGCUGCACGCUGCAGUCGGGUGGUGAAUCUUUGCACCCCAGGAUGACAGCCCCGAGGCAACAUAAAGCUUUCCCAGUCCCUGGUGAGCUGGCGGGCAGUCAGAAGUGGAGGUUUGCAUGCAGUCCCCGCAGGAUGAUGCCGGAGGAGUUCCCUUUGCCCAAGAGGCAGCCCGGGCGUCCAGCUCCUUUCACGUGGAGAAGAGACUCCUGGCAGAUGCUUAAGCCAGUGCAGUGUGCAAGGGAGCGUGUGUGCCACUGGAAGCCCUUGCUCGAGCUUGAGAUCAAUACGGUGUUGUGGAAAAAUAGAUUUUAAAGGGUUGGUUUGAUUUAAUCUUUUUUUUUGCAGGACAUUCCCUUCGGUAACAAUAGAGAUUCGAUUCCUGCCAGGGCAGGCUCCUUAAUUAGACCCCACAAAAUGAACAGUAACAUGUCUCUGGGCUGAAAUUCUCCCUUUCCGGAGCUCGCAGAACGGAGGGAGUUUCUAACUCAUAAUUGCAUCUGAAUGCAAAUGGCUGUGCCAAUGCGAAUAUAUUAAAAGCAGCAGCGUCAGCAAUCACUGCGAAAAAAAUACAUACAAAUGAGGCACUGGCUUAUUGCUCCAUUUGGAUGCUGUGAAAUGGCACCUUAUUGUGUUAUUAUAAGAUUUCUUGCUUAGUUAACAGAAAAUGCUCACAAUUAAGUCUGAACUCAUUUAGUGCUCAGAUUAAUUCACAUUAGAAAAGGGAUGUGACCUCAA